UCAAAAUGAUUUGUUUAUAUUUACAGCAUGGCUUUCUUAUUGGUUGGCUAUGCAGGAGCAGCUACAAUUGCAGCACUCCUCUGCAUGUUACGCUUCUUCUAUCUCAGACGAUGUUGCUCGAACCCCAUCUUCACCGAAUACCCUUUUGUCGGCAUGCUACCACAUGUUCUUUGCAAUUUGUGGCAUGCCCAUGAUUAUUCAACUCAGGUUUUGAAACAACAUGGCGGCACUGGUGAGUUCGUUGGACCAUGGUUUACCGGUAUGAACUACAUGCUCACCUGUGAUCCCCUCAACGUGCACCAUAUGUUGAGCAAAAAUUUCCGUAACUACGUCAAGGGACCCGAGUUUCGGGAGAUUUUUCAAGCUUUCGGAGAUGGCAUUUUCACUGCUGAUGCAGAAGCUUGGAAAUACAGCAGAGAUCUCUUCCAUUCUUUGCUCAAGCAUAAAAGCUUCGAAGUGUUUCUGGAGAAAACUAUUCAGAAGAAGGUGCAGAAUAGCCUACUUCCUUUAUUGAAUCACGUGCAAGACCAAGGGAGGGUGGUGGAUCUUCAAGAUGUCUUCAAUCGCUUCACUUUCGAUAACAUAUGUUCUACAGUUCUUGGUCGUGACCCCGAAUGCCUUUCCAUUGAUUUUCCAGAAGUUGCAAUCGAGAAGGCUUUUAACCAAGCAGAAGAGUCCAUAUUCUACAGACACGUAGUGCCGGGAAGUGUCUGGAAGCUCCAGAAAUGGCUCCAAAUUGGUCAAGAGAAGAAGAUGACAGAAUCAUGCAUAAUACUUGAUGAGUUCAUAUAUUCAUGCAUAGCGUCCAAGAGAGAAGAUCUAAGCAGGUAUGAGGAAAAUGAAACGGGAGAAACUUUUCAUGUUGACUUGUUAACAACUUUGAUGAGAGAAGGAAAGGGAAAAGGAGAAGCACAUGAAGAUAUAUUUCUAAGAGAUGCUGUGUUCAAUCUUUUUGUGGCUGGGAGAGAUACCAUAACUUCAGCUCUCACGUGGUUCUUCUGGCUUGUUGCUACAAACCCUUUGGUGGAAGCGAAGAUUGUUGAAGAGAUGAAUGAAAAGUUUGGAAGCAAUGAAAAGACAGUAUUAAGUGCAGAGGAGGUGAAAAAGCUGGUUUAUCUGCAUGGUGCUAUGUGUGAAACGUUGAGGCUGUUUCCUCCUAUACCAUUCGAACGCAAGAAAGCAAUUGAAGCUGACGUGCUUCCUAGUGGGCAUGGUGUUAAUCCGAGAACAAAGAUAUUACUAUUUUUGUAUGCAAUGGGAAGAGUUGAAGAAAUAUGGGGAGAAGAUUGCAUGGAGAUGAAGCCAGAGAGAUGGAUCUCAGAGAAAGGAGGUAUUGUUCAUGUACCAUCUUACAAAUUCAUUGCUUUCAAUGCAGGACCUCGAAAUUGCUUGGGGAAAGACUUGUCCUUUAUCCAAUUGAAGAUGGUGGCAGCAGCUAUUUUGCGCAGUUACCAUGUUCAACUGGUGGAGGGUUAUGUUGCAACUCCUACACUCUCCAUUGUUCUUCUUAUGAAGGAUGGUUUGAAGGUAAAUAUAACGAAAAGAAAGUCUUAGUUUGACUUCAAAAUUCGGACAUCAAACUUGGUAAAAAAGUAUGUCUUGUCGGUUGUGUAAUGUGUUCUGUCUGUAUCAUUUACAGCAUUUCGUUUCGGACAAUGAUAUUUUAACACUAUUUUUUGACAUUAUUGUGACACUGCACACGUGUCAAGAUGUGAUUGGACGAUUUCAAAUUAAAAAAGUUGAGGCAGGGAUAUAUUUGGAAGAGAAAAACCAAAAUUUGUUUUUUAAUUUGAAAUCGUCCAACCAUAUUUUGACACGUGUGCAGUAUCAAAAUGGUGUCAAAAAAUGAUGUUAAAAUUUUAUUUUCCUUUCGUUUCUGAUAAUAACAAAGGGAAAUAAUCAUUUUCAGGAUAAUGAUAUUUUAACAACAUUUUUUGACAACUUUUUUAACAACUGGACAUACAUGUUAUUAUUUUAUUGGUCUAUUUAAAUUUAUGUUUAAAAAAUAUUUAAAACGGACUAAUCACAAACUGUCAUGUAUGAAUUGUCAAAAAAUUAUUAAAAAAGUAUUGUUAAAAGAAGUUUUUCUUUUCAAUAACUUCACCAUAAUUUGUGUGUAUACCUUACCAUUUUAUGGAGAAUAUUAUUGAGAUUUUUCAGAUUAAGAUAUAUCUCUAAUUAUAAGUGAAUUUAAAUUUAACUUAUUCUCGUCAAACCAACUUAAAGACAAAAAAUACUUCCAUGUGUAUAUUUGAAAUAGACCAAAUAUUUAUUCAAUAUGAUAUCUUCAACGUUUAAGACUUAUAUUUUCGACAUUCAUAAUUACAUUACAUGGUUAUAGAAAAAUAUGAAGCAUUAAAAGAUAUUCAUAAUUUAUUCUAUGAAAAAAAUCAUAUAAUAUUAACAAAUUAAUAUGUCAAAUAUAUUAGCCAUUAGAAACAUAUUAGCCAUUAAAAAAAAUUGUUGAUAACAGGGAACAGAUUCUAGUAAUUUAUGUGAAAAUUGACAUUUAGUUGAUUAUGACUCUAAAUAUAAAAUGCCAUAUUUUAUGUUUUGGUUAGAAUUAUAAUAUAUGGUGUUUUUCUUUAUUUAAGAAAAAUCUUGUUCUUGAAACUUAAAAAUUGGGAAGAGUCACAAUACCUAGACAUCAUAAGGUUGUAUGUAUAUUCCGAUAUAAUGAUUUAAUAUAUAUUUUUAUUAUAGUUCUUUCAUUUUUCUAUUUCUGCUUCUCUUUUUCAUUUUUGUCACAUUUUUUUUUAUAUCUACGCCUUGUAUAUUUCUUUCUACUAUACACCAAAAAUAGGCAUUGCAUCAUACAAUGUCAUUCUUUAUUAUGAUUUAAGUUUCAUUUGUUUCUUGUAUGGUUAUUUAAUUAAUAUACAAGCAUUUCAAAUCUAUGGCAUGUUAGUUAGGUCUUAAUUAGCUGGAAUUCAUUUAACAUGCAUUCUAUGAAUGUAAUAUUUUCUUAAUUGUAGUCAUAUUUUAAUUUGGAUAAGAUCUCAAAUGGGUAUUUAUAAAAAUAAAUAUAAAUUUACUGUAUUUAUAAUUUUUACGAUUUUUUUUCUAAUCAUAGGUCCUACAUCAUUUUCUAUCUAUUUUAAGAGCUUGUCCUGGAAUACGAUGAAAUGGAAACAUAGAAGAAAAAUAUUAAAUCUAUUUACAAAAGAUAGUAUUGCAUCCAACCUAAUAUCUCAAAGCAUUAAAUGUGAGUCAAUUUUUCUUCCAUAUUUAUAUAUAUAUGUACGGUUGAAGUUACGUAUUUCGUAUUUCUUUUCUAAUAACUUGGUAUUUAUUUCACUGAUAUUUGUAAAAACGUAUAUGUGAUGUGAUAUGUUAACGUUUCGUGUACUAGCUACUUAACCGAUUGAGGUUACAAUAAAUUUUCAGAAUAAUAUCUCAUGGAUCUCAAAAAUGCCAUCAACACCUAAAUAAAAAUAAAAAGAGAUACAAAUAAUAAGAAAUUUACAAUAGCUUAGAAAGAAAAGUGUCAAGAAGGUAUUUGCAAAAAAAAAAAUAAAAAAAAUCUAAAUUUAUCAUAUGAAGAUAAAGAAAAUGAGUGAUAAUAUAUCCGAAAUAUUUGAAAUUGAAAAUGAGUGUAAACAUUGGCAUAGAAAAAAAAUCUAUUCACAUUUAAAUUUUUUAUAUUCAUUUAAUAUUAUUUUUAGUUAUUUUUUACUUUUAAAAAAAAAUAUAAAAAUUUACACUUUUAUUUUACUCUAAUAGUCUGUUAAAUAAAUGUAAAAAUAUAUUAUAUACUAUUUCACGUAGGAAAAGCUACUCUAAACAAACUCAAAUGAAAAUUAAAUUUCAAAUCAAAAUAAUUGGUGUAAAUUAAAUAUUAAUAAGAUAACUUUUCCAAACCAAUAUGUGCUAUUUCUGUCUGAAAACUUCAACAAUAAUUAAUUAAUGGAUUAAUAUUAGGAUCACACACUUUUAUACCUAUUUUACAUACAAAAUAAGAUGGUUAUAAAAAAUAAAUUUUUAUAUUUAAAAAAAAAAAAUUUUUAAAUAAAUAUAAAAGUUUAGAAAAAAAAUUCUUUAACCACUCUUUUUUAAUAAUUUUUUUACAACGUAUUUUUAUUCAUUUGUUUUAAAUAUUUUAUUAAUAUAAAUUUAAAUAAAGUAAUAAAAUGAUGACACUGUUCAAUUAUGAAAAAAAUUCUUAAAAUAUCAUUAUUAAAAAAUUUAUCAACGUGAAAGGAUAAUUUUUUUUGAAAAUAAUAUUUUAACACCAUUUUUU
rnacentral:lncRNA from 1 species